rnacentral:tRNA from 1 species
GCGCCUGUAGCUCAGUGGACAGAGCGGCGGACUUCUAAUCCGCGGGUCGCAGGUUCGAAUCCUGCCAGGCGCG